ACUUGUAUGAGGGGAAAAAUGAAGGGCUUUUGUUGAACCUAGUUUAGAGUGAAUUUGAAUUUUCUAUGAAAAUUUAGAAGUUUUUUCAAAGACGAGAAGACCCCAAAACCUUUAUUUUAGUUUAUAUAAGCUAAUUUUUAUUUGGGGGAAAGGGUAAUUAGUGUUAAUUGUUUUUUUAUAUUGAACUUUGGUAGGUUAAGUGGAUAGGUACUUUGGGGGUAACAGGAUUAUUUUUUUUUUGAGUUCUUAUUUUGGGAAGAGUUUAUUAC
rnacentral:rRNA from 1 species